AUUCCUACGGGAGGCAGCAGUAGGGAAUAUUGGACAAUGGGCGCAAGCCUGAUCCAGCCAUGCCGCGUGAGUGAAGAAGGCCCUCGGGUUGUAAAGCUCUUUUGUCCGGAAAGAAAAGCGCCGGGUUAAUACCCUGGUGUCCUGACGGUACCGGAAGAAUAAGCACCGGCUAACUUCGUGCCAGCAGCCGCGGUAAUAAU
rnacentral:rRNA from 1 species